rnacentral:lncRNA from 7 species
AUCGGGAUCAUGUUUUGUGGAUUCAUGUUUGUUUCAUGUGUCUUGGAACUUCUGCUAAUAACCAUAAUCAUCAAGGGGGACAGUAUAAUCACACACGUUCCACACAGGGUAGGGGUUAGUUCUGUGUGCACUCGCCACUGCCGAUUGGUGUUUCUUUUCCUUUUCUCUCUUUCUGUCUCUCUCGGUCAAGGGGAUGAGAUUUGAGAAGGCGAUAUUUUUGGUUCUUGCA